rnacentral:rRNA from 1 species
GACAGAGGGUGCAAACGUUGUUCGGAAUUACUGGGCGUAAAGCGCACGUAGGCGGCUUUGUAAGUUAGAGGUGAAAGCCCAGGGCUCAACCCUGGAAUUGCCUUUAAGACUGCAUCGCUUGAACAUCGGAGAGGUAAGUGGAAUUCCGAGUGUAGAGGUGAAAUUCGUAGAUAUUCGGAAGAACACCAGUGGCGAAGGCGACUUACUGGACGAUUGUUGACGCUGAGGUGCGAAAGCGUGGGGAGCAAACAGG